UACGGGGGGGGCAAGCGUUGUUCGGAAUUACUGGGCGUAAAGGGCGCGUAGGCGGCCUGCUAAGUCGGACGUGAAAUCCCUCGGCUCAACCGGGGAACUGCGUCCGAUACUGGUGGGCUCGAAUCCGGGAGAGGGAUGUGGAAUUCCAGGUGUAGCGGUGAAAUGCGUAGAUAUCUGGAGGAACACCGGUGGCGAAGGCGGCAUCCUGGACCAACACUGACGCUGAUGAGCGAAAGCUAGGGGAGCGAACGGG
rnacentral:rRNA from 1 species